GAUGAACGCUGGCGGCGUGCCUAAUACAUGCAAGUCGAGCGAACGGACGAGAAGCUUGCUUCUCUGAUGUUAGCGGCGGACGGGUGAGUAACACGUGGAUAACCUACCUAUAAGACUGGGAUAACUUCGGGAAACCGGAGCUAAUACCGGAUGAUAUUUUGAACCGCAUGGUUCAAAAGUGAAAGACGGUCUUGCUGUCACUUAUAGAUGGAUCCGCGCUGCAUUAGCUAGUUGGUAAGGUAACGGCUUACCAAGGCAACGAUGCAUAGCCGACCUGAGAGGGUGAUCGGCCACACUGGAACUGAGACACGGUCCAGACUCCUACGGGAGGCAGCAGUAGGGAAUCUUCCGCAAUGGGCGAAAGCCUGACGGAGCAACGCCGCGUGAGUGAUGAAGGUCUUCGGAUCGUAAAACGCUGUUAUUAGGGAAGAACAUAUGUGUAAGUAACUGUGCACAUCUUGACGGUACCGAAUCAGAAAGCCACGGCUAACUACGU
rnacentral:rRNA from 1 species